ACGGAAGGCAGCAGUGGGGAAUAUUGGACAAUGGGCGCAAGCCUGAUCCAGCAAUGCCGCGUGAGUGAGGAAGGCCUUAGGGUUGUAAAGCUCUUUCACCCGCGACGAUGAUGACGGUAGCGGGAGAAGAAGCCCCGGCUAACUUCGUGCCAGCAGCCGCGGUAAUACGAAGGGGGCGAGCGUUGUUCGGAUUUACUGGGCGUAAAGGGCGCGCAGGCGGCGGACCAAGUCAGGCGUGAAAGCCCCGGGCUUAACCUGGGAGGUGCGUCUGGGACUGGUUUGCUAGAGUUCGGGAGAGGAGAGUGGAAUUCCCAGUGUAGAGGUGAAAUUCGUAGAUAUUGGGAAGAACACCGGUGGCGAAGGCGGCUCUCUGGACCGAGACUGACGCUGAGGCGCGAAAGCGUGGGGAGCAAACAGGAUUAGAUACCCUGGUA
rnacentral:rRNA from 1 species